GCCGGUCGAGAUGGUUUUAAGAUCAGGCCAUCAGUAUUUACAGAUCUGGAGAAGAGGUGAAGUGAUAGUGGUGACAUGGAGACGUGAGUACUUAGACGAACCAGGUGAAUAUGCUUGGGUCUGGUGUGUACUGUACAAAGCUGGCCUCGAUCUGACUGGACCCUGCCUGGUACAAGAAGCUGUUGGCCUCCCACUGCCCGAUGACGUCCACACCACUGGACUGAGUGUUCUUGACCAGCUUCAGAGAUAGAUCAGCAGAGGAGAACACUUGACCAUCAGCUCUGAAGAAGAUCAGAUCAUAUGAUUGCAACAUGUUGAUGUCACCUAAGGACUUAAGGAAAUAAUUUGUUGAGUGGUUGGGUGUUUGUAAGGUGAAACAGGACCUUAAUGUGGCAUUCAAGGAUGCAACAUUCAUAUAAAGGACGAUAACCAUAAUACUGACCACAGACAAGGAUGGACUUUGUUUACAUUCACAUAGAUAUUUGAGACACGUGAACCAAAUACAUCUGGAUUCUGCAACGCCUAAAGGGCUGAACUUUCCAAU